rnacentral:rRNA from 1 species
UACGAAGGGGGCUAGCGUUGUUCGGAAUUACUGGGCGUAAAGCGCACGUAGGCGGAUAUUUAAGUCAGGGGUGAAAUCCCGGGGCUCAACCCCGGAACUGCCUUUGAUACUGGGUAUCUCGAGUCCGAGAGAGGUGAGUGGAAUUCCGAGUGUAGAGGUGAAAUUCGUAGAUAUUCGGAGGAACACCAGUGGCGAAGGCGGCUCACUGGGUCGGUACUGACGCUGAGGUGCGAAAGCGUGGGGAGCAAACAGG